rnacentral:ncRNA from 2 species
GAGGAAGCCGGUGCGAACCCGGCGCGGUCCCGCCACUGUGAGCUCCCGUCGCGAUCGUGCGCGGAGGCGAGUCAGACACUC